AGAUUGAACGCUGGCGGCAGGCCUAACACAUGCAAGUCGAGCGGCAGCACGGGUACUUGUACCUGGUGGCGAGCGGCGGACGGGUGAGUAAUGCCUAGGAAUCUGCCUGAUAGUGGGGGAUAACGUUCGGAAACGGACGCUAAUACCGCAUACGUCCUACGGGAGAAAGUGGGGGAUCUUCGGACCUCACGCUAUCAGAUGAGCCUAGGUCGGAUUAGCUAGUUGGUAGGUAAAGGCCUACCAAGGCUACGAUCCGUAACUGGUCUGAGAGGAUGAUCAGUCACACUGGAACUGAGACACGGUCCAGACCUCCGUACGGGAGGCAGCGAGUGGGGAA
rnacentral:rRNA from 1 species